rnacentral:rRNA from 1 species
CGUGAGGGACGAAGGCCUCUGGGCUGUAAACCUCUUUUCUCAAGGAAGAAGAUAUGACGGUACUUGAGGAAUAAGCCACGGCUAAUUCCGUGCCAGCAGCCGCGGUAAUACGGGAGUGGCAAGCGUUAUCCGGAAUUAUUGGGCGUAAAGCGUCCGCAGGCGGCUUUUCAAGUCUGCUGUUAAAACGUGGAGCUUAACUCCAUCAUGGCAGUGGAAACUGAAAGGCUUGAGUAUGGUAGGGGCAGAGGGAAUUCCCGGUGUAGCGGUGAAAUGCGUAGAUAUCGGGAAGAACACCAGUGGCGAAGGCGCUCUGCUGGGCCAUUACUGACGCUCAUGGACGAAAGCCAGGGGAGCGAAAGGGAUUAGAUACCCCUGUAGUCCUGGCCGUAAACGAUGAACACUAGGUGUCGGGGGAAUCGACCCCUUCGGUGUCGUAGCUAACGCGUUAAGUGUUCCGCCUGGGGAGUACGCACGCAAGUGUG